UACGUAGGGAGCAAGCGUUGUCCGGAAUCAUUGGGCGUAAAGCGCGCGUAGGCGGCCUCAUAAGUCCGUUGUGAAAGUCAAAGGCUCAACCUUUGAAAGCCGAUGGAUACUGUGAGGCUAGAGUCCGGAAGAGGAGAGUGGAAUUCCCGGUGUAGCGGUGAAAUGCGCAGAUAUCGGGAAGAACACCUAUGGCGAAGGCAGCUCUCUGGGACGGUACUGACGCUGAGACGCGAAAGCGUGGGGAGCAAACAGG
rnacentral:rRNA from 1 species